AUGACCCACCAAACACACACCUAUCAUUUAGUCAAACCCAGCCCUUGACCAUUAACAGGGGCUCUCUCAGCUCUCCUAAUAACAUCCGCCCUAGCUAUAUGACUUCACUUUAACUCUAUUACUCUUUUAACCCUGGGCCUACUAACCAAUACACUGACUAUAUAUCAAUGGUGAUGUGACAUUAUCCGAGAAAGUACAUUUCCAGGCCAUGAUACAACAACUGUUCAAAAAGGCCUCCGAUGUGGAAUAGUCAUAUUUGUUAUCUCAGAAGUAUUUGUCUUUGCUGGAUUCUUUUGAGCAUUCUACCAUUCUAGUCUAGCCCCAGCUCCAGAAUUAGGAGGACACUGAUCUCCAACAAGCAUUUCUCCCCUCAACCCCCUGGAAGUACCCCUCCUGAACACAUUUCAAUUACUUGAGCCCAUCACAGCCUAAUAGAAAAUAAUCAAAAACAAGUAAUUCAAGCACUACUUUUCACAAUUAUCUUAGGCAUUUGCUUCACCCUCCUACAAGUCUCAGAAUACUUAGAGGCUCCCUUUGCUUUUUCUGAUGGAAUUUAUGGCCCAACAUUUUUUAUAGCUACAGGCUUUUAUGGACUUCACAUCAUUAUUGGAUCAACUUUCCUUACUAUCUGCCUUCUCCGCCAAUUAAAAUACCACUUUACAUCCAGCCAUCAUUUUGGCUUUGAAGCCACCGCCUGAUAUUGACACUAUGUAGAUGUAGUAUGACUAUUCUUGUAUAUUUCUAUCUACUGAUGAGGGUCU
rnacentral:lncRNA from 1 species